rnacentral:rRNA from 1 species
AGUGAACGCUGGCGGUAGGCCUAACACAUGCAAGUCGAACGGGAGCACAGUAAGAGCUUGCUCUUACGGGUGGCGAGUGGCGGACGGGUGAGGAAUACAUCGGAAUCUACUUUUUCGUGGGGGAUAACGUAGGGAAACUUACGCUAAUACCGCAUACGACCUACGGGUGAAAGCAGGGGAUCUUCGGACCUUGCGCGAUUGAAUGAGCCGAGGUCGGAUUGGCUAGUUGGCGGGGUAAAGGCCCACCAAGGCGACGCUCCGUAGCUGGUCUGAGAGGAUGAUCAGCCACACUGGACCUGAGACACGGUCCAGACUCCUACGGGAGGCAGCAGUGGGGAAUAUUGGACAAUGGGCGCAAGCCUGAUCCAGCCAUACCGCGUGGGUGCAGAAGGCCUUCGGGUUGUAAAGCCCUUUUGUUGGGAAAGAAAAGCAGCAGGUUAAUACCCCGCUGUUCUGACGGUACCCAAAGAAUAAGCACCGGCUAACUUCGUG